rnacentral:lncRNA from 1 species
UUUUUUUUUUUUUUUUUUUCAAGUUUCUUAAAAUGGCAUGCGAAAAGUGUCUCAUGAUUGAGCAGACAAUUUGUGGUUCUCAAAGAUAGCACCAAUUUUUAAUGUACUUAGACCUUGUUGGACAAAGUUCAGCUACUCAAUUGUUUUGCCGCAUCUCAAAAGUGCAAUAAUGAAACGCAACACUCCAGAGAGCGUUCUUGGCUACAUUCAGUCGAACAAAGCCAUUUGAUUUCUCAAGCCGUGCAAGUUUCCUUCCUUUCUUAAAUAAAAGCUCAUUUUGAAAAGUUCUUGAGAUGCUAGACUUCUUGAAUGAUAGCCUUAAGUAGAAAACAGUAGAAAGAGUCAAAAAUCUUGAAGCAUGAAGAAUGGGGUAUACCAGGCUACUAAUAAAAAAUAUCGGCAUAGUCUAUAACCACAGAUUCAUGAAAAUGACAGUUGAUUUUCUCAAUUACUUAAAUUAUGGGAAAAUUACUUUGCUUGGAUAGCCCUUUUUUUUUUCUUGGGUAUCAUAAACACGUUUUCGAGUUAUCUUCUCAAUUUUUCAAUAACUUUUUAUUUUAUAUACAUCUUAUCACAAAAAUAUUAUAAUAUUAUGAAUUAAUCUUAUAUAUACUAUGAUAUCAUCAUUAGAUAUAUAAUAUAUGUGCAAAUUUUGAAUUUGAAAUUUAAAAUUUGCUCAUGUUUCAUUCAUCCAAUCGUGAUAAUGUAUACACUGACAGUAUAUAUAAAAUUUACUCAUAAUAUUUAAGCAAAUAAAUAAUCUUCAUUCCAAACAGAUACGACUCUGAACUUGGAACUCCUUAAAUUUCUCAAGCCAUGCAAGUUUCCUUCCUUUUUUCUAAUUAAAAACUCAUUUCAAAAAGUUUUUGUAAUGCUAGAGUUCUCGAAUGAUAUAGCCUAAAGUAGAAAGAGUGAAAAAUCUUAAUGCUUGAAGAAUAGGGUAUUAGGCUACUAGUCUAAAAUGUCUAUAUAGUUUUAGCAUUAGAUUCAUGAAAAUGAUAUAUAGUUGAUUUUGUCAAUUACUUAAGUUACGGAAAAAUUACUUUGUUUGGAUAUAGUUUUUUUUUAAUUCCUUUUGUUGUAUCAUAAACACGUUUUGAAACCAUCUCUUUAUUUUACAUAUAUCACAUCACCAAAAGUAUUAGAGUAUUAUUCCAAAAAAAAGAUUAAAUAAUCUCCAUUCCAAACAGAUAUGAAUCUGAGCUUGGAACUUCUUAAAUUUGCACGUAUAGUUUAUGUAAAACAUUGCGUUCCAGGUUGAGCAGCGAAAAGUAGUAUUAAUGUCUCUUUAUGUUUUGAUAAGAUUGAAAUGUCGAUGCAUGCAUCGGACAUUUGAAAAUCAGAUUGACCAAUUACUUGAAUGUUCUUGAUGCCAUUUUCAUACUUUAGGAAAUGGUCAUACGUAUUUAAACUUGUUCAGUGUUGGCCUUCUUUUGAUAGUUCAACCGCUCGCAAGUAUUUGUGAUGGACGUGGAUGGUUAGUUGAUUUGCUGGUAAUCUGAUUAAUUAGCCUCAUGGAGUCGUUGUCCAUCCUUAUCACUUCAAUCUAUUAUUGCUUUGGGUUUCUACUUUCUUUCUUGUUGUCUGCAGACAGAACGUUAAUUUCAUAAUCAUGUUCAGAGGUCAUGUGAAUAUUUUCUCUAGAAUCACGUACGAAAUCAACAAGAACAUGAGAUUAUCUUGCAAGAAAUGAACUUUUAUUCACAAGAAACUUUCCCAACUUUAUCAACAACACUAAAUACUUCUUGAAGAUUGAGGUGGUAGAAACGACUUGAAGGGUAGUUUUUCGUGUUGGGAAGUAAAUUAGAAAAAGGGUUAAAAAUAAAAAAGUCUCAUGUGAUAUACCUAAUAUACAGGAAAACCCUUUGUGGUUUCAAAACAGACAAAACGACAUCUCAUGUUUUAAACUAAUAGAAUUUGUUAAAUUUAACGAAAAUGACGGUCUCGACUGUUCAACUUACCGGAUUCCAUUAAGUUUACCGGAUUCCGUUAAAUUUAACGAAUUCUGUUAAUUUAUAAUUUAGUUCAAAACAUAAGAUGUCGUUUUGUAUGUUUUGAAAUCACGGGAGAUUUUUCUGUAUAUUAGGUAUAUCACACGAAACUUUUUUUAUUUUUAACCAUUAGAAAAACGUGUGAUGAUCUACACAUUCUACAUACACUUUAACAUCUGGUCAGAAAUAAGAUAAGUAACUUUUCUAAAGCAAAAGAGAUAAUAUGAUAAAAAGAUCAGACAAUUUUUUUGUAAUCCCGAAAGUUUGCAAUGAAACACAUGCAAAAUCAGUCUUAUCAAAUGUGUCCACAAUCUGCCAUUCUUCAGAAGUUUAUGCUAUUUAAAUUGCUCUCUAGAAUUCCUCUGGCCAAAAUUUUAUCUAACUCUUCCGUGGGAGAGAGUCCAGAUAAUUUUAUCUAGCCUUUCCUCAUGGAAGGGAGUGCUCUUUCUAUUUUUGUUUUUAGUUUGUCUUGUAAAAAUAAAUUCUCUCUUAGGGUUUCUUAGUGAUAGAUUCUUCUUUUCUAAAAUCUCUCAAUAAGAGUUUCUUCUCUUCUAAAUUGUUCUAGUGAGAGUUUAAUUCUCUCUUAGGUUUUUCCUUGUAAGAGUUUUGUUUCAGUUUUUAUCCUUUUUUUUGUCAAUUUUGAGAUUUCUCUAAUUUUCUCCGUUUAUUAUUGUCAAAUCUAAACUUUUCUUUUCUUUGAAUUUAAACCAAUGUUUAAUUAGAUCUAACUGUUAGAAAAUAUAUACAUAUCUAUAGAACUACAAUGAUUCAUCUAGAUGGAGGAUAUGUUGGAACUUAUCAUUAUUUGUAUUGAAUUUUCAGAUCUGUUGUAUCUAUUGAUUUUAGAUUUGUACCUGUGUCAUAUUUGAUUUGACAUAUUUUUACCAUUAGUGCAAAUUUAUUGAAUGAAAUGAUCUUUCUAUUAAAAUUCUCCAACUAAUUAACGCAGGUAGAAAUCUUGGUUGUAUUUGGAUGCACUUUAGAAUGAAGUUAUUGUAGUCUUUUUUUUUCCCUAGAAUUAUAAUCAUCUAGCUGUACUGCAUUCAUUGAAAAACUUGUAGAUUCUAUACUUAAUGAUUUAUAUUGCUUAAAUAUAUUAAAUGACACUUGUGCAUAUCCUAAAGUUACUUUUUUUUUUCUUGGCAGUCUUUUGAAGGCUAGGAACAAUACCAAAUAUCUGAUGUGAGACCAGCUUUUGGGUUUGAUCAAUAUUUCUUUACGCGCUAGAUUGACAAAUAUUUUUUAGAGUUCAACACUUAUAAAAGUGUUUAAAAUUCAGGAGAUGAAAAUACUUAAAAUAUAAUGAUAAGAAGAUAGGAUAACAAUAAUCUUGGAAAUUCUAAUAAUGAAGAGUGAUCUAUAAUUCUUAAAAUCAUAGCGUCUAUAACAUUUCUAUUUUUUUUUAUAAAUAAAUACAUGGGAGUUAUAUAUCACGAAGGAUACAAGCGAAAUAAGUGUAAAACGUAUGGAAAACAAUGGACUGCAGCGUGAAGUCACCGAGACGAGACCAGGGGCAGGGACGGUCAACAGAGAAAUCGUUGAGAUCGAUUUUGUGCAUUUUGCAUAAGAUAUAAUUUAGUUUACACACGAUUUAAUUUAUUUUGUAUAAUGUGUAAUUCAGAACAAAAUUUUGUGAAUUCCAUAGAUGAUAUAAAAAAUAAUGUAUAAGCCAUAAGGUAAAAUCUGAAUCUUAAAAUUUUUUUUGGAUCAAAUCUUAGCCAUUUGCCUUUCGGAACUUCCGGCCCCAUUUCCCACCAGGAUAUAUGAUGCAAUUCUGUCCUUGAGAAAAAUGACAAGUUCAUGCCCCAUCACUAGUAGUUUGGAUCGUGUAAUUCCUGAUGCCAUAAGAUGAGGCGUUGGUUGAACUGUGCUUGCCGGCCGACAUGUGUGAGUGGCGACAGAAUGAAACCGUGUUGUUUUUCCAAGUCAAGCCAUGAAUGCACAAAGUCUUCUCACAUCGAAUCUUUUCCUACACGAGUUACAAGAGAUUUUUUUCUCCCCUACCUCGCUCUAGAAACUAGUAGAUACUAAUUCUAGUCUCAAUAAUUUCCUUUGUCUCUUAGCUCAGUGGACGAAUUUCACUUCACGCUGAGAAGACUAGUGGCUCAAAAUAAGAAGAGUUUUACCCGUUUGGAUUGUUAUUUUUCUAAAGUUUUUAUAAAAAAUUAUAUAUUUUUUAACGAGUUGAUGUAAAUGAAAUAAAAAAUAAUUAAAAAAUAUAUUUAUCAAAAAUAUAAAACCAGUGGUGUAUUGCGACCAUGACCCAGCAAGUUAAAUUUAAAUACAGAACUUUGAAUAUAUCUUAUGUACACAGUGUAUAUACUAUCACCGUUUGAUUCAUGACAUGUGUGUACAAGUUGAAUUUCAAAUUUAAAUUUUGUAUAGUUAUCAUUCAUUCAAUGCUAACAGUGUAUGCACUAUCAAUGUAGUGUAAAAGAAAGAUUAAUCCUAAAACUUUUGCCUAAGAAAAGGGUUUAAUUAUUGUAAAGUGGGUUUUGACUUUUCUUAAAGGAAAUGGAUGUCGUUUUGAAUAUUUACUUUUAAGUAUGGCAAAUUUGUAAAAGUAGAUGUUACAGCGACUCGUGUCAGCCGGCAGCUGGUAGCUUUUUUUUCUUUUUGUUUCUUUUAUCAUUUUGCCUUUUGUUGCUUUCAGUUCAUCUGUGAAAUCCUUUACAGUGGAGAGGGGGUAUCAAGAGAACAAGAGUUGAAACUUUUAUAAUAACAAUUUUUUUUCCUAGGGUAUUAUUACUCAGGUUGGGAUUCUCAUCAUUAGAAUUAGAUUACUCUUCAUUGAACUUUCUCUUCAUUUAUUUAUAUCUAAAUUACUAUAAUUUUAUAAAUCAUCUAAUUAUAUCAAUUACUUUUUUUAAUAUCUAGAUCAACAUAUUAAAAGAUGAUAUUCUUUUUCAAAAAUUUUGACAUUCAAUUUCGUGUGAAACAUUUGAAUGAUGAAAAAUAGGUCCAAAUUAUAAUAAAAUUUCUAAUGAUUAACCAGACGGCAAAAUUUCACCAAUUUCAUACAAAGUUUUAUGUAUAACUAACACAAGCGAUGAAAUAUACUCCCUCCGUUCCACUUUGAUAGCCCUGUUUUCCUUUUUCAUUCGUCCCAAAUUGUAGUCCACUUUCCAAUUGAAAAAUAUAGUUGUAUUUUAAUUUUUCUAAAAUACCCUUAUUCAAUGUAAGUUGUUGUUACUACAAACCUACUCCAUUUAACGAGAGUUGAUUCUUUUUUACUAUCAAUUCAAUUUUUUAUAAAGUUGUACUUUAAUUAAUGUGAGGGUAUUUUAGGAAAAUAGUUAUCUAAAUUGAUUGUUCCAACAGAGUUAACUACUUUUUCUUAAACUGUGUUAAAAAGAAACCAGGACUAUCAAGGUGGACGGAGGGAGUAUUAUGAAAGCUACUGAUUUUGGAAGAUAAUUUUUAAAUUAAUUUAAUUGUCUUGUAAUGAUACAAUGGAGAGGGACCUAGUCCAUUGGACUCAACUCUAAUUAAACAUUUCAAUUCCCAACAUAAUCAUGUGCUUUUUGUAUUUGGCAAAUGACAUAAUAAUCCCAUUAUAAGACAAGAUCCGAAAUUAUGGCCCUAUCCUAAUUUGUAAUAUAUACCUUUUUUUACCACCAUCAAAAGAUCUAAAAUCUAUUUGCAAAAGCAAACAGGAGCAUAAAAAAAUUAUCAUCCAAAAUUAAGUGAAAUAGAGCCUAUUAAGUUUUCAUUUGAAUGCCAACAGGGAGCAAUUGUAGAUAUAUUGAUGAAUUACGAUAAAUUUAGCCACCAUUGACAACCAAAAAAGUGAAAAAUAAGUGCCAUACAAAAGAAAGGGACUGAUAAUUACAAUUCGCCGCAAGUACAAGAUUUCAGAUGGGCAAAGACGGGGCAGCGGUCCAGGAAUAGUGGACCACCGUCGAGAGUGUUAGUCACUUGCCAUAGAUCAGUCCACAAGGGUAGAAAGCGAUGAAGAUUUAAUUGAAGGCCCAGCUUGAAACGAGAAAGCUUGCGUGGUCCACUCUGCCUAGUCCAGUCCGUCCCACCCCACCCAAGAGAAAGGAAAGGUGCGUGUGGCUAAACCCUCCAGUCACGUGCAUGCUUUUGGGACACAGAGAAUCAUGAGAAAAGUUGAUCUUGAUGCGCCACCAACAGCUCAUGGGAAAAUCAUCUGUGCACCAUACCCCUUUCAAUUCCAAAAGUAGAAAAUGAAAUAAAUUUUGCACCCUACAAAAAUGAAACAGAGGCAACCAAACAUGGUAAAAAAAAAAUCUACCUACAAAAUAGUGCUCAGUCAACUUUUGAGUAUGUGUGUAUUCGCACCUUUUUGUCUUUUUAAGGAAAGUUCGUGCAUACUCGUUGAUACUCAAGACCACGGGCAGGCAACCGGGCAGAACGGCUGCAGGUGCAAUCGUUUCUGACGAUUUUGUGUAUUUUGUAUACCGCGUAAUUUUGUUUGCACAUGAUAUAACUUUGUUUGCAUAACGUGUAACUUUAGAACAAAUUUUUAUGAACCCCACACACGUUGUUAAAAACGAUGUAUAAUAAGUGAUUUGGAUCGUACAAUUUUUUUGGACCAAAUCCUGACCGUGAACUGUUCAAUGACGGUCUUUCUGAUGACCGUCCCUGCCUCGUCUCCACUUUGAGUUGCAACAAUUGACACUUUCCCUUUUUUUUUUUUUUUUUGAAAAAAGUUUUGAUGAGUUCGGCUCCGAUUACCACUAUCGGUUAGGUUAGGCCUCCGAGACCAUAGGUUGCUUACAAGAGGCACUUACAAAUCACUCACCAAUACAACUCUCACAUCGAUAAUGAGAUUCGAAUACACAAUUUUUUGUGAGAAAGUGGUCUGUCCUUACCGAAGAGUCAAUAACAAUUGAGACUUUCCUGCCAGUUCUAUUUUUUUUUUUUUUUUUGACAUGAGGAAAAGAACCCUCCAAUGAUAUCAGGAAAAUUGGAAUUUGCAAACAAUGGACAUGAGAAAGGCAUCUUCAUGGUUUGGAAACUUGAUGAUUUGACACAUAAUCAAGGAAAAAGAAUGCAGGGUUCUUCAGACUUCGCAAUUUGAGAAGUGUACGAGUAUGCAAUGUAUGAUUUUUUUUGCGUGAAAGGUUGUGUCUACGCGACAAAUUGUGAAAAUCUAUCACUUGUUUAACAUUUCAUUUGUCUACUUACAAUCAAUCAACAACCUUUCUCUUUCUUCUCUCUCCCUCUUGAUAAGCUGUGUGCUUGCCCCACUCCACUCUGUAAUGCUUAACUGAAAUCAUAGCCAGAAAAGAGGCUUUGAACUUCAAUGCAUGGGGUAUGCAACAUUACCUGCUAGGUAUGGCGUUUAUGAUUUAACAGGCAAAUUAACUUUUGAUUGCAAUAGUUUUUCUCCUUUCGGACUCCUCCAAUUCUCUCCACCUAUUUGCCUUUCACGAAAAUCCAACUGUAACUGACUGUGGUCUGACCUCUGUCGUCUAUCUAAGAAGAACGGAAUGUUAUAUGAGAUACUUAAAUCUCUGGGACUAAAGGAUUUUUCACUUGCUUCUUUUUGCAGGGGAUGUAAUUAGUAAGGAUGAUAGGAGCUGUUCUUUUUGACGUCUCGGAAGCAGUAAAUUGUUAAAGAGUUUGCAAAGAAAAGAAAUCUCUUUUCCGGUCUUGCAAUGCCAGUCCCUCUUGCUCCGUAUCCAACACCUCCUGUUCCAUUUACACCACCUGCAACUGGUAUGGUAUCAUAUCCAGGAGCAUUCAUAGUCUGCAAGAGACUUGAAUGGACAUAUGCUGCUUUGCUGCAUAGGAUAUUGAAACAUGUUUUCUUGAAUUGCUUAUGUUGUUUAAGUUAAAAAGCUAGAUGGAAUUUGUGACUUCCAUCAUUUUUCACUUUCAUAGCCACCUACCGAUAAUUCAACUGAAGGAGUUUACUGCAGAGAAGCAUCAGAUUUUGUCAAGUCAAGCACUUGCACUUGAAGAUAGAAUUUUUUUACACAAAUUCAGCCUGUUGAAUACAAACAAGAACAGUAAAUUAAGGCAAAAGAAAGCAUUCUUCAGAUUGACAAUAAUAAUCAGUAUUCAAAAGGUUUUUGCACUUAUAGCAAUUUUGGAACAAUAAAUUUUUCUGGUUUUUGUUCUGUAACUUCACAAAUUUGUAUGGUUCUACAAAAUGAUUUGACUUCAAAGCUUCCUGUCACCGUGAAAUUUUUUGUGCAUCUCUUAAGUAGAAUUCACCUGUCUUAUGAUAUGUUGCAUAUAGUCUCUGAUCCUCAAUAAGUUUGAUGGUUAUCAGGUGCACAGAGCCAGCUUGUUUGUUCUGGUUGUCGAAACCUUUUGGUGUAUCCGGUAGGAGCAACCUCUGUGGUGUGUGCAGUUUGCAAUGCAGUCACAGCUGUACCUCCUCCUGGUAUACUUGCAGUGACUCCCCAACUCAUACCUCUCAAUUUUCAUUCUAGUUAAAAAGCUAACAAAUUUAGGAGGGCUUUUCUCAGUAUCGAUUUUCCUUUAGCAGGCACUGAGAUGGCUCAGUUGGUUUGUGGGGGCUGCCAUACUUUGUUAAUGUAUAUUCGUGGAGCAACAAGCGUGCAGUGUUCUUGUUGUCACACCAUCAAUUUAGCAAUGGAAGGUAAAUUAAGUGAUAGUAUGGUUUUCUGAAGAUUGUAACAUCAUUAAUCUGAGAUAGCAGCAGUUAAGUAUCAUGUGUAUUUUAUGGCAGCAAAUCAGGUAGCACAUGUCAAUUGUGGGAACUGCCGGAUGCUGUUGAUGUACCAAUAUGGGGCGCGAUCUGUAAAAUGCGCCGUCUGCAAUUUUGUGACAUCAAUUGGGGUCAGUAUAUAUUUUGUUUAACCAGCUUUUACAAGUUUAAAUCAUAAUCAUGGUAGGUAGAUAAAUUUCAGGAGGAGCUAAAAAGAAAAACUUGAUCAAAUUGUAAAGCUAUCUGCAGCAUAAUGCAGAUUGCAGUGUAUCCAAGUCCCAGACACUGUGAGACAAGAGAUGCCUACUAAUUGUGCAGCUGGACACUGCAGAUGCACAAUAGUUGGAUCAAAUGAACUAGGAGCAAAAGAUUAAGUUGGUUGAAUAUCAGAAGAUGUUCUAGCAAACUCUUGCUGUUAACAGUUGCAAAAAAUUUUACUUUCCUGAUUAUCCUCCACACAAAUUAUUCAGUUAACCAUAAGCCAUUCACAUUCUUGAUCCCAAGAAUGUCAUAUGGUUCAAUAAAUGAUAAUCAUCAGUCAUCCGCUGAUUAUCAUGAUUGCAAUUAUUGAUCUCUCACUUAUAAGGCAUAAGGGAACUUCCCAGAAAGUAACAUUUGACAUUCUGGCGGAAACACCUUAGUAAGCUCCUCCUCUUCCCAACCUUCUUCACAUGUGCCAAACAUCCACUCUCUGAAAACAGCAAUUUUGCCCUUUCUUUUUCCCCUCUUGAGUUCCUUGGAUCUCUGACCAGCUUGCAUUCUGGAAUGGCCCGUACACUUUGUUAAGUACUAUGACUAGAUUAAAACUUAGUUAAGCACUUUGAGGAUAUAUGUUGGUGGAGGAGAGUAAUAACUUUCAGCAUUGUCACAUGUAGAUAAUGGAACCCUAUGCUAAUCUUAAUACAAAAUAAUCAUGUCCACUGUUUCAACUACAUGUAACAAAUUUCCAUUGAACGACAGGCAUCAGCGAGCACUAUUGAGCAGAAGUUCAACAGCUGAACUCUGAAGUUUUCUGUUUCAAUACCACAAUAUAUUGCCAUUUUGAAGAGCUGCCAGAAACUGCAAAAUUCCUGGAAGCAGAGAAAGUAUAUUUCUGCUGCAUUGUAUAGAGUUCUUUUUCCAUCGCGUGAUUUUGAUAUGAAUAAGCAAAUUUUCCUGCGUAAAUGCACAAGAUUAUUAUCUAUGAAUUUUAGGUUGCUAGCGUUGUUUCAAAUUAUUGGAUAAGAAAAACAUCAUUUUCUUCUAGUGCUUCUUCUAAUUGCAUCAAGCACACGACAUCAGGCUGUAUAUUUCACUUUAUCCAUCUUUUUGAAUUGUCAGUGGGAUGCUGAAAUUAAAUGCUUACACCAACAUAUCAAUCUCCAAAAAUUGAGUUUUUCCAAUUGGAUAAUCCUGAAGAUAGGAAUCGGGUCAAAUGUUCCUGGUGAAAAAAGUUGGAUGCCUGAAAUUAUCCACAUGGGAUGUCUCAUCAAAAAUUAGACCUGGUCUCCUAGCAGGUGAUUGUAAUACCAGUUCAAAACCAAUGGGUCCAAUGGCCAGGGAGAAUCUCUUUAAAGCUCUCUUGUGCACUAGAUCGAAGGCUCAAAUCCCGCCUAAUGCAUCUCAAAGAAGCACAGUCCAUUCUUAAAAUAAUCUAAAAAAUGUAGUAGAUCCUCUAAUCCCUAUACAAGUCUCUUUAAAUUUCCACUUCCUAUAGCCUAGAUUAGUAUAGGAAUAUGAUAGAUGUUACUGUUUGCGGGGAAAAAAAUACCACUUCAAAUGUUACUUUUCCAUACUUUACUGUUCUAAUGUGGUAUUUUACUGUGGUAAAAAUUAAUUGUUCAUCGUAUAGAAAAUCUCCCACGUAAAAGUAUAGAAAGAGCAAAAGACACGGGGGCUCAGAGAGAAAACAAGAGUCGUUGUUUUUCUCCUUUUCAAAGUAAGAGUCAUGACCCUCCUCGAAUUGUUUCUUUCGAAAAUGCCAAUCAAGCGAGAAAACUAGCCGUCUCCGUUUUCUUCUCCUAGUGCAAGAGACAAAUCAAAUCGUCAAAACAAAUAUGGAGCUCCUAAGUAAAAGGGGGGGGGGGGGGGGUUAAUUCCAAUUUGUCCUCCCAAACUUUGGACGAUUACUCACUUCAGUCUCUAAACUUUAAAAUGGGACACCUAAGUCCCUAAACUUAUAAAUAUCUCCCACUUAAGUCCCUAAACUUAUAAAAUGGGACACUUAAAUCCCUAAACCCUUAUAAAAUGGGACACUUCGAUCACCAAGCAUUCAGGAUUUGUUAACAAUUUUCCUUAAGUGAGAGGUAUUUAUAAGUUUAGGACUUAUGUGUCCCAUUUUGAAGUUUAGGGAUUGAAGUAGGUAAUCGUCCAAAGUUUGGGGGGACAAAAUGGUAUUAACCCGUAAAAGGGUACUCCCCUUUCUUUUUGUUUUACGUCUCUCCUUUCCUAAUUACUACUAAAAACUAAGGAAGUUCCCAUAGAGGACAAAAGACUAGGUCGUUUCCUAAUAUCAAUUGGGAACAUGUUUCUUAGGUCUUCAGCUUAAAUUGGGAAAUCGCCACGCGGAUAAAUCUCGACUCUUCCAGACUUGGAGGCUAACUUAGGCGCGACCCCCGGAACGUCUAAGAAUCUUCAUUAAUCCACUUUUACCCCUUUUCUUGCUAUAUGCUUGAAAUUAGCAGCGGUUGUCAAAUAUAAGUAAAAUCCAUCCAAUAAUGCAAUAUUUGGCCAAAAUCAAGGAAAUAUAUUUACAAAUUCAAUAACAAUUAUACACCUUAUCAAUUUCUCUCACACUUAGCCCAUGUUUGCCCUCAAUCAUAAGAACAACAAAUCAAACAAUCGAGUUCAAACAAUAGUUAUCAUUCAAAUUAUCUAUAGUUGGAGUACAAUUAAAACACGUGUCAAGUAUUAGUAGCUAGCCUCCAAGAAAUAUCUCUUCAAUUAACUUUUAAAAUCAAAAACUUUUUCAAUUCUUGGCUAACUAAUUUAAAAAUAUAAAAUAUUUACCCAACAAUCAAUCGGCAAAUGAUUCGACUAUUAAGCAAAAAUUUCAACAUUAAAAUUUAUGAAUCAGCGGGCUAAUGUAACCAUCCACAUAUUUCCACUUUCAUACACAUUUUCACUUUCACUAUUAGCAUAACAUUUUUCUAAGAUGCCCCCUACACUUGAUUUUUCUUUGUUUUCAAUUUUUCAAGAGAAAUGCUUAGUUCUUAGCCAUUCAAACCGUUUGAUGCGAGCUCCGACAUCUACCAAAUGAAGGAAUUUGAUUACUCAUCUUUCAUUGCUUAAACACUAAAUACUCAUAACUAUCGCCACUUUUUGACACGAAAGUCAACACUUAUGGUGAAAACUCCUGGUUACUAGGUAAAAAAUACUAGUGAAGUAUAACCAAAUACUAUUCAAAAAUAAGUAAAAAAAUAAAAUUAAGCAUCACAAGUCUACUUCAUUUCUCAAACAUGGAGAAUUAAGAUUAGUAGUUGAACUAAUUUAUACGAAAAAUGUCAUACAAAUAUUUACAAUGCUUAGAGAAGUUAACCAAAAAGUACAAAAGUCACAAAAUUUUUAAUAUUCACCAAAGAGACAUUCUCAGAUUUCACUACGUCAUACUUGACACAUUAAAACAUAACACCUUAUAAUACCUUAGCAACGGUAAAAAUUUAAAAUGCCUAGCCAUUGAUGAUUACAAUUAGCCACAAAAAUGUACAAAAAUGAAAUGAAAUUCAAAAACUUUUAACAGAAAUUCCAAUAAAAAUGACUAAAAUGAAUAGUAUCAUGAUACUAUACCUCCCAUAUUUAAAUCUUACAUUGUCCCCAAUAUAAGCAAUAAAGAACAAAAGAAUCGAAAGGGAAUAACGAAACUUCCCUAAUCAACAAGGGGGCAUAACAACUAUGGGUAAGGGGCAAAAGAAGGAGUACAACGAACGGAAUGGUUACAGCGCUGACCACAAUUGACAAAGACAAGUGGCGGCGAUAACAUUCAAACUCGGCGACACUUUCCAAAUAGCGACAACAAGGAAUUCGUCGUUUGGAAUACAAGGUGGAGAAAAAAUUGAAAAGAAAGAAAGAGAUAAAUGAAAAAGAAAGAAAAGAAAAGAAGAAGAAUAAUUAGGGUUUUUGGGAAUUUUUUUUUGCCCUCUUGGCGUAACAAGACGCGGGCACAUCUUGUUGCGUUGUAGUAUUCUGAUCAUGGUUUUGAAAUUUUCACGAGAUUUAGUAUGUCCUUAAGACGUCGCCACAUGUUAUGUCUAGUUGUCUUCUGAAAUUGAAAUAUGAGUUUGUCAGUCAGUUAUGCGUAGGCACGCCUUGUCAGGUAGCAGUCUUCUAUUUACUAAAACAACAAAACAAAAAUCAAACACAUAAAAUAUAAGAAAUCUAAGAAAAAUAAUAAAAAAGUGAACUAAAAAGUGAAUUGAGUUGCCUCCCAAUAAACAUCUUUGAUUAGAUAUAAAACAUUAUUUCUCAAUCCGGUUGUAAUUUAAACUUUCUUGUAAUUGGUGAAAUUUCUUUAGAAUUCAAAUCACCAUUAUGUGCAAUCACCUUUUUUAACUUUUUAUCUAUUUUCACAUCAUAAGUUAUUUUCAACCCAUGACACUUGUCACAAUAACUUUUAACUUAUCCAUGCAAUUAUAUUCAGAAAAUUCUUGCAUAGAACGAUUAAUAGCAUAAAUGGCAAAUAUAGAAUGAAAGUUAAUAUGAUGUUUUAUAUUAUUAAAAAUAUUAAAAUGAACUAUUUCUCCAUCAAAUUCUAUCGUAAGAGUACUCUUACUAAUAUCAAUAUUAGUUUGGAUAGUAUUCGAGAAGAGUCUCCCUAAUAUAAUGAGUGAUGAAUUUGGAGAGCUUUUAAUAUCCAUGUAAAGCACAUAAAAAUUAGUAAAAAACUAAUCCAUCUACUUGAACUAAAAUAUCCUAAAUUAUCCUAUUCGAAUAAGCAAAUGUACGAUCAGCCAAUUAAAUUAUUACCCUUGUUACUUUCAAGGAUCCUAGAUUUAGGUAUCACAUUUAUAGAAACUCUUAAAUCUAGUAUGAUAUUUCUAAUUUUAGAAUUUUCUAUCUUACAUAAGAUAGUAAACAUACUUGAAUCCCCGUAUUUAGGCAGUAGUUUUCUUUAUAAAAUCAUUGAGACAUUCUCAUCUACUAUGAUUUCUCAGCCCCUCUCAAUUUUUUCUUGUUGAUGCACAAGUUCUUUAAAAAUUUAGCAUAUUUUGGGUAUUUGCUUGAUCGUAUCUAAUAAACAGAUAUUGAUUGUCACUUUUCGAAACACCUCUAAGAUCUCUUUUUCUUUAUCUUGCCUUUUUGGCUACUCCAACUUAUUUGAAUUAGUGAUGAUUAGUAUUAACUUUAAUUAAAUGAUCAGAAACUAUCUCAGGAGUUGUCUUGUUUAAUCCUUCUACUUCCAACUCCUUUUCAAUUUGAUCUUCGCUCUUAUCCUUCGGAACUGUAGGUUUUGGUCCUUCAAUUUCUUUCCUUUUUUUGAGGGUCAUGGCACUAACAUUCCUUAAAUUUACUUCAGGUUGAGAAGAAAAUCUUCCUUUCUCUUGAAACUCCAAACGAUUUAUUGCAGAUUUCAUCUGACUCAUCUGAUUUUGUAGAUUUUGUAUGCUUCGUCUUCUAUUAGAAUUGCAAGGUAUUCUACUGAAGUUACAUGGUGUUAAAAGCCAAUGCCUUGACCAUAUUCUUAAGAGAUGUUUCUGAAUUAGACGGAGAGAAUUGAGAUCUUGAUGGAUACUGUAGUUGAAACCUUUGCUGUCUAUCGGGAAAGAAAUCUUGCUGUUUAUUUUCCCCAUAAUGAAAUUUGGAUGGUACAUUCAAUACAAAUUAUACGUGUUAGAAUAAGGGUCGUACUGCCUACAGGCGUGAGCACGUUUUCAACUAUGUUCACUUGUUUUAGCAUUAUCAUCUUGUAGCAUCGGGCAUCCAUCAGUGGAAUGACUAAUAUCCUUGCAAAUUCUGCAUGUCUUGACUUACUGCAUGUUCCCCACUGCCAUCUGUCGAAUCAUAGAUUUUAAUUCAAACAAUUGCUAUUGAAUUAAUAAAACACUUAUCUCAUUCACUCGACGAGCAUGUACUUCAUCCCACAUGUCAAAUUGUUAAAAAUUUUCAAUCAUCUCUUCAAUCAAAUCUUAGGCUUCUUGAGGAGUUUUGUUCACCAAAGCACCUCCAUUUGUAUCAUCAAUGAUGUUUCUGUUUCUAUAGAGUAAGCCUUCAUAGAAGUACUGGACGAGCAACUGAUCACUAAUUUGGUGUUGCAGGCAACUAGAGUAUAGUUUCUUGAACCUCUCCAAGUAUUCGUAGAGGGAUUCUCCUAGUUGCUGAUUUAUACCACAAAUCUCCUUCCGUAGACUAGCAGUUCGAGAUGCAGAAAAAUUUUUCUAAAAUUUUCUCUUCAUGUUCGUCCAUAUGGUGAUCCUCUCCGCAGACAAGUAGUAUAACCAAUCUUUAGCAGCUCCUAUCAAAGAAAAAGGGGAGGCUCACAUCUUUAUCAGCUCUUCUAUAACAUUAGGUGAUUUUAUGCUCAAACAGACAACGGUGAACUCUCAGAGAUGUUUGUGGGGCUAUUUACCUGACAAAUCAUGAAAAUUAGGUAAGAGGUGAAUUAAUCCUGAUUUUAAUUCAAAUGUUACAUUUUCAACAAAAUUAGAAAAAGUAAUGUAUAAAAGCUGCUGAUUUAAAUUAGGAGCAGUCAACUCUCUUAAAGUUUUAUUAUUAUUAUUUGCCAUCAAAACUUCUUUCUACUCAGAAUCACGGAAAGAAUUCAAUAAACUAUCAAGUUAAGUCCUGGAGAUGUAGUAGAUGACUGCUCUUCCUUUCAUAUUCUAGUUUCUUUAUUAGUUUACAUGCAGUCUUCUCAACCUUGAGAUGAAAAUCAAAUCACCUAUAUGAAAAGAACGAGAUAUAAACUAGAAAAAUAUUAGAAAUAAAAUAAAAUAAAUUCAAAAAGAAACAAAUAAACAAUGUCAAUCCCUAACAAUGGCGCCAAAAAAUUGACAGAUAUCGAACCUGUGCAAUAAUAAAUUCCUACUCAUAAAAAUAUAUAAACGAAUAUAAUGACAAAUAGUGUCGUCUCCACAGGGAUUAGAAAAAAAUUAGUUUUCUUCCAAGUAAAAGCCAACUGGGAGAUUUUGAAAAAUUAAAAUUAAAAUAUAAAAUACUCAAAUAAAUAAAAAUAAUUAAAUAGAAGAAAAUUAAAUUUAAAUCAAGAAUAAAUAAGUUCUAACCAAAGAUAUAAUUUUGAAAAUGGUUCAUAUAAUGCUCAUUGAUGCAAUAAUUAUUUAUCUAUUUGUUAAUAAAUAGGUUAUAAAUGCCAAACACGCGAUAACAAUCUACCUUUAUUGUUUCUGUUUCAUAAUUAAGGUACGCCUGUUAACUAUUUUUCGAAUUAAAAAACAAUUCUAGGUACGCUCAUAGAAUUUAAUUUCUUGAUUGCAUUAGAAACUAGAAAAUUUUGUUCUAAUUAAUAAAUGCACUACCAGAGUUUAUUUAAAUUAGAUCAUAUGUUCCCUAACAUGAAAACCAAUCAUGGUAGUCGUCACUAAUUUAAGACAAUUAAAUAAUUACGGAUUUAACUAUCUUAAUUGACAAUAGUUUGUUUAAGUUGAAUUAAAUAUCGGACGUCCUUGAUAUUCAAACAACAAAAUAAUCAUGAAAAUCAAAUCAAAAACUUAUGAAUACUAACGAAUAAAAAAAAAAACAAUUAGAUCUCACAAUUAUAAAUAAAUCAAAUCCUUCGUCAUCUCUUGACUAGAAAAGAAAAUUAAUUGUUCAUCGCGUGAAAAAUCUCCAACGCAAAAGUAUAAAAGAGCAAAAGACCUGCGGUUUAGAGACAGAACAAGAGUCAUCAUUUUUAUGCUUUUCUAAGUAAUAGUCACGACCCUCCUCGAAUUAUUUUUUUCAAAAGUACUAAUCAAGCGAGAAAACCAGCAGCCUCCGUUUUCUUCUCCUAGUGCCGAGACUAGUCAAAUCUUCAAACAAAAACAAAACUCCUAAGUAAAAGGGCACUCUUCUUUCUUUUUGAUUUUCGUCUUUGCUUUCCUAAUUACUACUAAAAACUAAAGAAGUUCCCAUAGAACAAAAAACUACGUCGUUUCCUAAUAUCAAUUGGGACAUGCUUCUUACGUCUUCAACUUGAAUUGGGAACUGCCACGCACAUAAAUCUCGACUCCUUCGGAUUUGGGGCUAACUUAGGCGUGCCCCACGGAAUGGCUAAGAAUCUUCAUUAAUCCAUUUUUAGUUUUUACUCCUUUUUCUUGCAAUAUUCCGGAAAUUACCACGCGUUGUCAAAUAUAAGUAGAAUCCAUCCAACAAUACAAUAUUUGACCAAAAUCAAGGAAAGAUAUUUAUAAAUUUAAUAGCAAUUACACACUGUCACAUCUUCCAUUCUCAAUCUCUUGAUAUCCCUCAUGGAUACUACUUUGACCACAAGAGGGUUGCUACAAUUCUAAGGCCCUGUUUGAUAAUCCAAUGUAGCACUUAAAUUUAAUGGAUUCAAAUAUUAAUAUAUUCAAAUCGUUUGAUAAUAAAAAAUUGAACAUAUGAAUUAAUUAAGUGACACUGAAUUUUCUAGGCAAAACUUGGUUUCAAAAUUAAGUGAUAAACUAUUCACUUAUCGCUGAAUAUAAUAUACACUCAAAUGUAUUAUAUUUAAUACGUCAUAAUUCAAUAAUUUAAUAAUUUUAGAUUUUAGAUUUCAAAUUUCAGACUUCAGUUUUAUUAUCAAACGCACCCUAAGUAUGACCAAACGAAAAUUGACCUAAUUAUUGUAAGAAAAUUGACCUCUUGACAAGAAGGAGGCAUGCAAGUAAUUUCAAUAUGAUUGCGAAAGAAGUAAAGGGGUGAACGAGAAACCAGACAAGCAAAGAUCAUCCAAUGCCCGACAAAAUGUCUCAGCUGACCUUUUACCAAAGCCAGAUUCAUUUUGAGGAAAAUUUCAAAUAUGGACCACCACCACAAGUCCUAGUACAGGGGUUACCUUUAAUAAGAUAUUGUCAAUUUAAAAAAGAGCUAUAAAUGCAACAUAUUUAUCUUUCCAACUGUGAAUAAAUAACAUUACCCCCUCACAUCUUCGACAAACCAUGUGAACACUUGGCUGACUUUGAACAGCUAUCCAAUGGUAUUAGAAUUCAGUGUCAAGAACUAGGACUACUGCCACUUUUGUCAUGAGACCCUCCAGUCCCCAAUGGGGGCCUAAUGAUAUUUUUGUCCUUGUCGUUCCUUGGAGUCGACUCAUUAAAUGUUUUCUUUCUUUUAUUUUGGCCUGUAUGUUGGUAGCCUGACAGGGCCUGCUGGUUUUAGUGAGCACUGCCCUUGCACAAGCUCCUCUUUUUAUCGUGCAAGGUCUAACAAUUCUUUUUUCUAGAAAAGAAAAAGAAAGAGAAAGCUUAUCUGAUCCCCGAGAAAAAGGCAGAUCUGCUUUGUCAAUUCUCAUAAGAUCAGAAGGAUUAAGAUUCUUAGGAAUGUCAUUCCUCAUUAGAAGGACUUUUUAAGGCACAAACCAGAUCAAGAAAGCUUUCAACUGCAGUUUAUGAUACCGUUUAAACAUUUUUUUUUAUCACAACCACUCGUUCCCCGAAACAUUUCAGCAAUAUUUCUUUGAAUUAUGCUGGAAUCUUCGUUUCUCUGCAGUAAACAGCAUAUCGAUAUAAUAUCAACAGUAAUUCUCUAGUGCUAUAGAAUGCGCAUCAAUCUUCUACAAUUAACUCACAAGGAGGUCCACUGGUGGAAGGUGAAAUGCAGUUGACAUGCGACAACCGGCAUAGAAUCAUAGACUACACAAAGGACUGCAUCAUCAGCAAGAAAACUUCAAGUUUCUCAUUGGAUCAGGAUGCACGAGGGUUAACGUUCAUAUCCAAAACAACAGGCCGGGAAGAAGAAACUUAUAUCAUGGCCAACUAACUUAAUUAUGUUACAUCAAAAUUGGGACGAGAGAUUAGUACAUCCACACAUUCCAUCAAACCUUGCUUUGAAAGGGACGGAAGACAGCUUAUUCAUCUCCCAUGGCUAGCUCCAAGGCAUAGUCA